AAGUCGUAACAAGGUAACCGUAGGUGAACCUGCGGUUGGAUCAUUAUUAAAUGAUUGCUCGGUUAGCUUGAGGAACAUUUGUUCUUCGCUGACUGACAACAACCACUGUGCACUAUAAUUGUAUUUGGGUGAGAAUGGUUUAGAUUUCGGUCUAGACUUGCACCAUCCGCCUUUAAUAACCUUCUAUUUUUUUGUCUGAUAUUUGUUUCUUUAUGAAUCAAAAACAACUUUUAACAACGGAUCUCUAGGCUCUC
rnacentral:misc_RNA from 1 species